CCGAGUGGUGUGGAUGUUUAUUGGGCCUAAAGCAUCCGUAGCUGGCUAGGUAAGUCCUUUGUUAAAUCCACCGAAUUAAUCGUUGGAUCGCGGGGGAUACUGCUUGGCUAGGGGACGAGAGAGGCAGACGGUAUUUUUGGGGUAGGGGUGAAAUCCUAUAAUCCCAGGAAGACCACCAGUGGCGAAGGCUGUCGG
rnacentral:rRNA from 1 species